GCAGGGCUCCCCGGGCUGGAGGAGAGAAGGGCUGAGUGGCUGACGACGUCUAAUUUUUGCUUUUCGAGGAACCAGGACUGAAAUGGGACAAAAAGAGGCCGUAUUGAGAAUAGCAGGGGCGAGUCUCUUCUGCACCCACCUGGUCCGCAGACCGUAGGCUGGAGCCCAAGGCCCCUGGAGGGACCACCUCCAGCAGAGCCAAGGACACCAACACCCCACGAAGAGAUGGGAAGGAAGAUGGCAUGAAGAGGAUGGAGAGGGGAAAAGAACUCAAACCAUGAGAAA